rnacentral:rRNA from 1 species
CAGUCGAACGGUGAACAGGAAGCAGCUUGGUGCUUCGCUGACGAGUGGCGGACGGGUGAGUAAUGUCUGGGAAACUGCCUGAUGGAGGGGGAUAACUACUGGAAACGGUAGCUAAUACCGCAUAACGUCGCAAGACCAAAGAGGGGGACCUUAGGGCCUCUUGCCAUCGGAUGUGCCCAGAUGGGAUUAGCUAGUAGGUGGGGUAACGGCUCACCUAGGCGACGAUCCCUAGCUGGUCUGAGAGGAUGACCAGCCACACUGGAACUGAGACACGGUCCAGACUCCUACGGGAGGCAGCAGUGGGGAAUAUUGCACAAUGGGCGCAAGCCUGAUGCAGCCAUGCCGCGUGUAUGAAGAAGGCCUUCGGGUUGUAAAGUACUUUCAGCGGGGAGGAAGGGAGUAAAGUUAAUACCUUUGCUCAUUGACGUUACCCGCAGAAGAAGCACCGGCUAACUCCGUGCCAGCAGCCGCGGUAAUACGGAGGGUGCAAGCGUUAAUCGGAAUUACUGGGCGUAAAGCGCACGCAGGCGGUUUGUUAAGUCAGAUGUGAAAUCCCCGGGCUCAACCUGGGAACUGCAUCUGAUACUGGCAAGCUUGAGUCUCGUAGAGGGGGGUAGAAUUCCAGGUGUAGCGGUGAAAUGCGUAGAGAUCUGGAGGAAUACCGGUGGCGAAGGCGGCCCCCUGGACGAAGACUGACGCUCAGGUGCGAAAGCGUGGGGAGCAAACAGGAUUAGA